rnacentral:lncRNA from 1 species
AUGAGUGCAUGUGUAAGAUCAAGAUUCAGAGGAAGAGGAGAUGGUCAAGAGGAAUCUGAUUUGGUUGCAUUCAUGGCUUCCCAGAAGCACCGUGAAUCUCAAUAAAAGAAACCAACUGAGAAUUAGGAUAUUAAACCUGGACAAGAGAAAGAAUAAACACCUGUGAUUGAGCAACGUAAAUUGGAAGCUGAUUGCCGGAAAUUGCAUCUGGAAAAGACUGGGAGUAAGUGCAAAGAUGGCCCUGAUGUAAAAGAGAAGACUCCACCUAAUCUGAAGCGUGCUAAGAUUAUAGAAGCAGGAGAUGGGCAGCCAUAA